CAGUAAUCAAAAGUGAAUGUAGCCACAUGGGUACAUGAUGAAUUAUACCAGAAGGUGUACCCACUAGCAUCUUUGGUGAUGGCCACCUGCUGGGCUUUAAGGAGGCCAACUAAGGAGAUAAUGUACCAGAGGCACAUGGUUGCAUAGAGUUAGCUUCCUCUGGGGCAGGUGUCUUCUUGCAGUGGGAAGCGUGGAUCCAGUUAGGCCUUCCGGCCAAUUUGACAGAGGGAGGGGAGAUCAGGAGAACUUGGAACGGUCCGUCAAAUCUUGGUUCCAGGGUGUGUUUUCGCACAAAUUUCUUGACCAGAACCCAGUCACCG